AGUGUAUAAAAUAGAGAAUAUUUAUAUUUGAUAUCUCAGUAAAGCCAAAUAUGUUGAAGAGAAUGGUUCAAACUUUUAUUCUUCUUCAGAUUUUGUUUGGAGAACCUCAAGAAGCUAAAAAUCCAACAUAUUCAUCUUCAACAGGAUCUGGACGUCGACUGUACUGUCAACCUCACACAUUCAGCUGUUUACACAAACUCAGGUCAGAAAUGAAUUAUUCACUGGUUCAAGAGUUUGUUUACUUCGAUGCUGCAAACAGAAAAGCAAAAUCAUUCGGUA